rnacentral:rRNA from 1 species
CGAGCGCACCCUUGUCCUCAGUUACCAGCACGUUAUGGUGGGCACUCUGGGGAGACUGCCGGUGACAAACCGGAGGAAGGUGGGGACGACGUCAAGCCAUCAUGGCCCUUACGGCCAGGGCUACACACGUGCUACAAUGGUGCAUACAGACGGUUGCCAAGCCGCAAGGUGGAGCUAAUCUGAGAAAGUGCAUCGUAGUCCGGAUUGGGACCUGCAACUCGACCCCAUGAAGUCGGAAUCGCUAGUAAUCGUGAAUCAGAAUGCCACGGUGAAUACGUUCCCGGGCCUU